UACCAGCACCCCGAGUGGUCGGGACGUUUAUUGGGCCUAAAGCAUCCGUAGCCGGUUCUACAAGUCUUCCGUUAAAUCCACCUGCUCAACAGAUGGGCUGCGGAAGAUACUAUGGAGCUAGGAGGCGGGAGAGGCAAGCGGUACUCGAUGGGUAGGGGUAAAAUCCGUUGAUCCAUUGAAGACCACCAGUGGCGAAGGCGGCUUGCCAGAACGCGCUC
rnacentral:rRNA from 1 species